GAGUUACGACCAGUCGACAUUCUAGCUCGAGUCUCAUCUCAUCUUCACCGGUUAACUUCACUACUUUUGUAAGUUUUGUAAGUCUCAUCUCAUUCUCAUGAUCUCAUCCCAGUACUCGACUACUCUCUGAGAUUUUUUUUGAGUUUUUAUAUUUUUAAGUUUUGAACUUUUUGAGUUCAGAGUUCAGACGCAUAAAUUUUUUAAUUUCUGAUUUUCUGCAUCAAACUAAUUUAGGGUUAUAGGCGGCGAUUUCCAGCUCGAUUCGAUUCCUCACUCCUCACAAAUUCCGGGCAAACGAAGUGUCGAAGACGCUGCUGUCCUGUUCCAGUGUUCCGAGCUCGAUUCAAUUUCAAUUUCAAAGGUAUGUUUCGCUUUCUUUU
rnacentral:lncRNA from 1 species